UUAUAUAUUCCUGUUGCAACGCACGGGCAUUCAGCUAGUAAUUUUAGAAGUUUUUGGAGAUGCUGUGUAAGUUGAUUCAUAUUGGACCAAGAGACUGCCCAAGACAGUGAACACAACAAUUCUUCCUUGCCGAUUGAACCCUGGUACGGUAAGUAAUUUACAUCAUGGUACAAACUGGAACCAGUGCGCGCUCACGUGCAUCCGAACACCUAGAUAUCCGCAGCGGUGGCCGGUGGGCGGUGGCGCCUCCACCCCCUCACUUGCCGGGCACAAAGUUGGUGGCAUAGGCCCAUGCGUUGUUGUUGACGGGGUCGGCGAGGUGGUCGGCGAGGUUCUCGAGCGGGCCCUUGCCGGUGACGAUGGCCUGGACGAAGAACCCGAACAUGGAGAACAUGGCGAGGCGGCCGUUCUUGAGCUCCUUCACCUUGAGCUCCGCGAAGGCCUCAGGGUCGUCGGCGAGGCCGAGCGGGUCGAAGCUGCCGCCGGGGUAGAGCGGGUCGACGACCUCUCCGAGCGGGCCGCCGGCGACGCGGUACCCCUCGAUGGCGCCCAUGAGCACGACCUGGCAG
rnacentral:lncRNA from 1 species